AUGUCGUUUCCAUAGAUACUGGGCAUAUCGCUCAAAGUCCGCAGUCUGGCCCCAGAUGGAGGCCUGCUUUCAAGACAGAGCCUGUUCUGUUUGCUCCUUCGCUAUAGUUGGGACCGCCUGAUGCCCAGUGGGGAGGGCGGCUAUCUCAUUCUCCCUCUUCCCUACUGAUUCAUUACCAAGCCACUCACCUCCAUAAGCAACAGCGUUCCCCCAAACUCAACUUUUGGAGUCAGGAGUCAGUAUUUGUCCCAAGAUACAUAUCACAUCCUUCCAUGUAAGGUCAUAAAGCAGAGUAAUGCCUUUAAAAGCUGCUCUAAUAUAUUUUUCUGGGUCCUCUAAAUAGUCUCCCAGAUCCUCCUUGAUUCUUUCUAUUUCUUCAUAAGAAAAGGGCUUAUUAACUCUCAUAGACUGAUUAUUUCUCCUGGUGGGUGCUUCAUGAAGAGGCAACAGCUUGUGUGGCUGUUUCUCAGCCUCUCUGGCUGCUCUGCGCAUAUGAUCCCAGGAUAGAUUGGAGAAACCUGCUUUUCUUUAUCUCUUUGUCUCCUGUCGUCCAUCUCAUCCUGUAUUUCACUGUUAGUUUUUGCUCUCUGAGCUUCUCUUACUUCAAUUGUCUGAGUUUCUAUGGAAACCAGAGUAGUCUGAGGUUGUACUGAGACAGGGGUUGUUUGGACCUCUACUUGGGCCGUUUGACUCUCAGUUUGGGUUUUUACCGAGACCAAAGCAACCCUUCCUGGGGAUGCUUCCCUGACUUUCAGUUCGCUCAGUUUGGAGCCAGUAAGGGGGCAAAAUAGGAGGAUAGAAGGGAGCUGAAGGUUUCACACCCAAAUCUAUAUCCUUAGGACAUAAGUCUGGCAUAACUCGUAGAGAGAAAAAGAGCAACACAAAUGCUACUUCCACCCAUUUUCCUUGUUUUCUACAGAAUCAGUCUAAUUGUAAGACAGUAUUAUAAUUAAGAGACCCUCCAACCGGCCACCGUUCGCCAUCCUCCAAUGGAUACCAUGGCCAUGCAGUAUCACAUAGGAAGAUCAGGUGUGUCAAAGGAGUGAAGCUGGCAUUGUUAGCGCGAAUCUGUAAGAGAGAAAAAAGCGACCAGCGCCAUCUUUCUACCAAAGGCAUCCCUCCCUUCUCUAGAUGGGGAUGUAGACAGACCUUACACCGAAGUUUUCCUUCCAUGGUUGGACUUGGUCUGUCCCUUACCGACACAGGCGCCGUACUCGCCCCUCCUGGUUCUACCACUAAGGCGGGGUGGAGAUGCACCAGGGGUAGACCUGAUGGCGUCCUGGACUAAUGUCCAGUUCCUCACCAUUAAAACUUGCUUGCCUCUGAUGCCAUCCCAGGUGCAAUCAGAAUAACCUUCCGGAAUGCCUCCCAAGCUGAGACCGCUGGGGGAAACAUUCGUCACCUGAGUGCAUGUGCACGACCCUGAGUAUAUUCUUGACCUCAAUAAGACCAGUGUGGACAUAAACCUGAGAUGUUCCUUCCAAGCGUCACCACACCAGUAUAAGAGACAGCAAAAGAGAUGGUGAAGGGCUGGCCAGUGAGGAAAAAGUGAUUUUGUCCUCGAGUUAUUAGGGCCAGUCCUUCAAGUUCAUUCCCACAAAUUCCAUAGAAAGAAUAUACAAGGAGUUGGGACAAAAGCCUCUGGAAAGCCUCUUCUGGUACACUAAAAGCUAGUGUUCCAGAGGAAGAAACCCAUUGCACUUCCAAUCUGAGUAACCUUUAACCUCAGAGAUGCUCCUGGAGCGAGAGCUCCAUCCAGCUUCCAAACUUUCGACUCCUAGCGAGGCUAGGCACUUCCUGACUACCAACCCAAGUCUGGGACCUAAGUAACAGCACACACUAACAGCACAGAUCACAAGUCCCUUGAAAGUCUAUGAUCCGACAGAUAGGUUAGUAUUCUAAUUCCCAAGGAGUUAUGAAAUGGUCAAAGAGACCGGAAAGUUUGAGAAAGGAAAGUUCAGUCCACACGCUUUGCCCAUUUCUAGUUGGUCCCCGAAGGAGACAUUGGGUGCCUCUUGGCAUUGGCAGGUCAGUCUAAACCCCCGACAGGUUUCUGCCAUAAGCCGUAUGAGGUCACCGCGGAACCGCAGAGCAGGGCUCCUCACUUGCUUCAUGCAGGGCAUGUCAUUCAUUCACACAAGCACACCGUAGAGUUAGUAAAGUACAGCAGAAAACAUGUUCAGUAGGAGAACAAAGAACUAGAGCUCCAAGCAUCCUUACCUUGUCCUGAAGAAUCCCGGAUGAGCCCCCAAGAUGAAAGGUUGUUGCUGAACCGCAAAAGAUGCUGGGAUUCUUGGCCUCCAGAGGAGAAGAAUUCAAUAAGACCCCCGGACUUCUUAUCAAACUGCCUAGGAAUUGACUCUCUCACAAGGAGAUCCAACCAGUCAAUCUUAAAGGAAAUCAGUCCUGAAUAUUCACUGAAAAGACUGAUGCUGAAGCUGAAACUCCAAUACUUUGGCUACCUGAUGCAAAGAAUGGACUCACUGGAAAAGACCCUGAUGCUGGGAAAGAUUGAGGGCAGGAGAAGAAGGGGACAACUGAGGAUGAGAUGGUUGGAUGGCAUCACUGAUGCGAUGGACAUGACUUUGAGUAGGCCCUGGGAGUUGGUGAUGGACAGGAAAGGCUUGCAUGCUGGAGUCCAUGCGGUUGCAAAGAGUUGGACAGGAUUGAACGACUGAGCACGUAUGCACAUUACGCAGUGGCAAUCCUGCUAAACUGUACCAGCAUGUUUGAUUUACCAAAUGAGUUCAGGGUUUAAGCAUGGAACCUGGAGUCAGAAGAUGUGAGUGUUGUGAGGACUGAAAGAGUUACUUUCAACGUUGAAGGCAAUGGCAACCCACUCCAGUACUCUUGCCUGGAAAAUCCCAUGGAUGGAGGAGCCUGGUAGGCUGCAGUCCAUGGCAUUGCGAAGAGUCGGACACGACUGAGUGACUUCACUUUCAGUUUUCACUUUCAUGCAUUGGAGAAGGAAAUGGCAACCCACUCAUGUUCCUGCCUGGAGAAUCCCAGGGACGGGGGAGCCUGGUGGGCUGCCGUCUAUGGGGUCGCACAGAGUCGGACACGACUGAAGUGACUUAGCAGCAGCAGCAGCAGUUACUUUCAAAAGCAUCAAUUUAAAUAACAUGUCAAUAAACAACCUUCCAUAUGUAUUAUUCUUUAUGCAUGUGUCACUAUUUCUGUAGAAUAGAUU